GUACCCGUAGCUCAGCCGGAUAGAGUAUCAGACUCCGACUCUGAGGGUCAAGGGUUCGAAUCCCUUCGGGUACGCCA
rnacentral:tRNA from 1 species